UACGUAGGUGGCGAGCGUUGUCCGGAAUCACUGGGCGUAAAGGGCGCGUAGGCGGUUUAUCAAGUCGCAUGUGAAAUACCAGGGCUUAACUUUGGGGGUGCAUGCGAAACUGGUGGACUUGAGCGCAGUAGAGGUAAGCGGAAUUCCUGGUGUAGCGGUAAGAUGCGUAGAGAUCAGGAGGAACACCGGUGGCGAAGGCGGCUUACUGGGCUGUAACUGACGCUGAUGUGCGAAAGCGUGGGGAGCAAAC
rnacentral:rRNA from 1 species